rnacentral:rRNA from 1 species
CGGCGGACGGGUGAGUAACGCGUGGGUAACCUGCCUCAUACAGGGGGAUAACAGUUAGAAAUGACUGCUAAUACCGCAUAAGACCACGGUACCGCAUGGUACAGUGGUAAAAACUCCGGUGGUAUGAGAUGGACCCGCGUCUGAUCAGGUAGUUGGUGAGGUAACGGCCCACCAAGCCGACGAUCAGUAGCCGACCUGAGAGGGUGACCGGCCACAUUGGGACUGAGACACGGCCCAG